rnacentral:rRNA from 1 species
UACGGGGGGGGCAAGCGUUGUUCGGAAUUACUGGGCGUAAAGGGCUCGUAGGCGGCCAACUAAGUCAGACGUGAAAUCCCUCGGCUUAACCGGGGAACUGCGUCUGAUACUGGAUGGCUUGAGGUUGGGAGAGGGAUGCGGAAUUCCAGGUGUAGCGGUGAAAUGCGUAGAUAUCUGGAGGAAUACCGGUGGCGAAGGCGGCAUCCUGGACCGACAUUGACGCUGAGGAGCGAAAGCUAGGGGAGCAAAGCGGG